CGUAUUCUAUGUUUUCUCUAUUUUCUCCAUCAAACAAUUCUCCCCUUUUUUUCUGUUCUUCCAUUCUACCAUCUGUUUUUUCUUGGGCGGUGCUUAGCAUUUCUCUAACUAUUCUACUUAUAUCUUGCUUUAUUUCAUGAAAUGCUUCAUUUUUAAGCUCAUCUAUGAGGCUCUGGAGAUAUCGCUUUAUGUCUAUUGGUGCCGUGUCUGAUACUGCAUGUUUUCUGUCUUCCUUUGCAUUUCCCUUUCCUGGAUCAGUGUUCUCAGGAUUGGGGACUGAGGACCUUUUCUUGUUGCUUCCUCUUCCCAUACUUUUUGUUCCUUCCAUACAAGUAAAUGUAGGAGCCCCAAUUUUUUUCUCUUUUUCAGUUACAGUUUGUUUGAACUACGCCGGCUAGGUGUUCCCGCCCACUGCAGUGUACUAGGGAGACACAAACCUCAGCAGCCUCUGCUGGGCCUGCCCCUCCAGGUCAACCUACCGAAGGCUUCCCGCUAAGGUGCGCCUCCAUGCGCUGGGACCUGGUUUGGGCUAGUCUACUGAGUCUUAGUCAGCGGCAUCACGCAGGCCAGGCACUCCCCACCAAUCCCGCUUGAGAGGGGAAUAUGCAGCUAACGUCCCUGCAGUGUCCUGUUCCGGUAAGUCUGCCUGGUCCCAGUAUGUCCUUUGCUGGAGCCUCCUACUCUAUGAAAGGGUCCCCGUUCCGCUCACUCACCGCAAGUCGAUGUAGGGCUCCCUGCCACUCCUGCUCUCAACUCCGUUUGCAGAUUCCCGCUCUCAGAGCUUUCGCGCGUCUCUCUCCCUGCCCUGCAGAUUUGGACGCAGCAGAAGCAGCAGGAAAUUCAAAUCGCGGCUUCCAGUGGGGUGGGUUCUAGCUUCCUGUGCUGAGAUUUUAUCUGUUCCUGUUAUAGCACCAGGAUUGGAUUUCCAGUUGUUUUCUCUUAGCUUAGUUCAUUUCUGGGUCAGCAGGGUGUAUCUCCCCUUGCUUAGGACCUCUCACCCUGUACCAUUCCUGGAUUUUAAGCGGGGUAUCUCAGAGAGCCUCCAUAGCUGCUGCUAUCUAUCUGCCAUGUUCUCCCACAUCAGCGCUGCUUUUUAAAAUAUGUUUUUGCUUCAUUUUUUGAACUCGAGCUUGGGGGCUCCUUUGUGGAUUACAAGAAAAACCUGCUUUAGAGUUUUCAUUUUGGCUCAGUGUACAUCCUACAGUCUUACUGAAGGCAAUGUACUGGGAAUCAAACUCACCACCUUUCGCUUGCCAGACACUGUAACCCCAGCCCUGACUCUUGAUUUUUAAGAGUCCAAGUACAUGAGAAAGUUGUGCUAGGUGUUCUGGACAGACAGGGAAAUAUGCUGGAGAGUCUGUGGGAAAAAAGAAAUGUCCUCCAUGAGUCUGGCUGGAGGUUUAGAGCCCACAACAAUGUCCCAUGCAAGUUGGUAUCAAGGAUCUACACGGGGAAGGCCCAAAGACCAGUGGUGGAAGCUAGAACAUCCAUGUCAGUGGAAUGAAAGAUCUGUGCCAGCAGGCUGAGGGAUCUGCAGUGGAGCUAGGAAGCAAUGCUUAAGAUGGAGCACAGUUCAAAUCUAGCCUCAGUUUUCAGCUGGAGCUCAAACCCCUCCACAAAUUCUAGCCCACUCCCUGUUUGUGGUUCUCAUCACCCGGUCCCUGUGGGAAGGUAACAUGGGUAUCCCUGAAGUGACCCAUUCCCAGCUAUUCUGAGUCCAAGAGUCAAACAACCAGCCCCUUCAUGGAACGAUGCCCAACUAACAACUCAGCAAUGUGGUGGGUGCCUCUCUCCAGUCAUUGCCUGCCUUGUGGAAGAAGUCUGCUUGGAGCAAAAUCCAGCACUAUCCCUACAGAUCACAAGAGCAGUGGGCUCCCCUUGAAGCCCUCACUGAUGGCCCAGUCCCCUGCCAGCACUUCAGUCUCAAGCCCCAGCAUUCACCUUGCUUCUGAAGAGUCAGGAUGCCCACUCCACGAGCUGUGAUCCAAGAGCUGGGGUGAGAGUCCAGACUGUUUGGUUCCUAUAUCCGCACUGUGGACUGUCUCUUCAACCUCUUUGUAGUUUUCACUUUUCCUGUCAGUUCCUUCCACAUUCCUAGUGAUUUACUUUUUUUUUUUCUUUCUCAUGUUAUUUUCAGUAUCUGGAUUCUGGAUCUCAGAUGUUGAAUUUUGUUGCCACUCACCACUCCAAGUGUAAUCUUUAAUGGAAAAAAGUCACUUACACUUUUGUUGAUUUGAGUAUGAGCCAGUUAAAUUUAUUGUAUUACUGCUUUCCAUCAUUAGGAUUAAAUGUGGUAGAAGAUACAAAGAAAUGUAAAACUAGUUUUUUAAUUACAGUUUGAAAUCUAGUUGGAAGGCAGAAAAUUUAAACUCACAUAAGGCGGCUGAAUGACUUUAAAAGAUUAUAAGAAUUUGUCAUCAGUAAGAAAAGAAACUUCAUGGUAGGUGUUUCAGAGGUCUUGGGAAGCUGUAACAAGAUUGGCAUGAACAGCAUUCUGGGGUCUCUGUGACUUGCCUGAAAAUUCCCAUACUGCCUUAUGAGAAAUGAUAAUUUGUCUGCUACUGCUCAUGUUGCAAAUGCAAAUAGUAAGACAGAAAGGAAGCCAUUUUAUGGUCCAAUUACAAUUGAGAAUUGUUUUAUUUGCUUGGGCGUGUGCAUAUGGUGAACAUUUGGGAACCCCAGACUUGCUGCUUACAGAACAUUUUAAGCAGUAAAGUGAGCACAGACUUUGGGCGUUUAACUGGAUCAGCCUAACACAUGGCCAUUUUUUACUCGUAUUGAGAGAUUUAGCUGGCAAUCUUAGGAAAUUUGCAUGAGAAUAAAAUUGACUCCAAGAGGAACUUGGAGAAUGUGAAUUUGUUCAAAGUUUAGCCAAAAGAAAGUAGUUCCAUGUCAGCAUGAGAUGCCAAUAAUAAUAGUGUUAUAAAAAUAUUUUCUGGAAGCCAAUGAUCUUUUUUUUCUCUUUUAUUUUCUUGUCUGCAUGAAAUAACUCAAACCAUAUUCUGUAAACAGAAAUCCUGGAAUUGAUUUCAAACAAUGGACCUCCACAGCAAGCGGCGUACAAAUAGAAAGUUAAAGAUUAAGAAGUUACUCAUGCAAAGGUCACUUAGAAGGUUCUCCACAGUAAUGGGAUUUGAGUCAACAAAUAAUGAAUGCCUGUCAUGUGGCCAGCUUUCUGAAGGCAUGGUGGUGGAUAGGAAGUGGGACCCACAAGCCCGUACCUAAGGCAUGAUCAGUCACUUCAAGCACUGGUCACUGAUUUGUAAGAAUGAGCAGGAAACGCAUGAAACUGCAGGGUGAGGCUACAUAUUUCAAUAUAAGAGUGGUGGAGGGGUGAGAAAGUGAAUGUAGUGGACACUCAAGGAGGCUUUCCUGGGCUAGACAGGGUGUACAGAGGGGAAAUGGGAUGGGAUUAGCGGGAAGCAGGAACAGCAUGUUAGGGAGGAAGAGAUUGGCGGAUGGAAAUCGUCUUUGUUUGCAGCUUCUUACCUACUUUUCUGCAUCUUUCCAUUUUAUUUUACACUCAAUUCUCUUUCUUAAUGCUGCCAAACCAUUUUCUUCUCCUCCUCUUCCUCCUCCUCCUUCUCCUUCUUCCUCUUGCUCUGCUUUUCUGGUGCUGAAUACUGAACUCAGGGGCUCCAUGCUGAGCUGCAUUCCUAGCCCUUUUAUUUUGAGCCAGGGUCUUGCUAAGAUGUUGUUAGGCAGAUUGGCCUUUAACUUGUGAUCCUCCUGGCUCUUUUUUUAUGGGGUAGAGGUGCUGGAGAUUGAACUCAGGGCUUUGGUGCAUGCUAGGUAUGCACUGGACCCUGAGCAACACCCUUUGAUUUGUAUGUAAUUCAUGAGGAGUCCAGCUCGUCCACCCAGGCUUCUUAUGGCCCACAUCCGGGGUUUGGCAGCUUGGAUUGAAUCUUGGCUUCCUCAUUCAUCACUGGGCUGACAAAUUAUUAACCGCUUUGUACCUUACAUUUCUCGUCUUUGGAGAGGGGUAAAAAAUGAUCAAAUCAGUGAAUGCAUAUACAGUACUUAGCAUAUGCAGUGAUUAGAACAUAGUAAACAGUGACCAUUAACAAUCACAUAGCUAUCCCUCAAUCAAUGUUGAGAAUCUAUUUCAAAAAUUAAGUGGGUGAUGCCUGGUGAUCCAUCUCAGAGGCACUAAUGAUCUAAUGUCUGGGCAAGAGAGGCUGAGGGUGGCCAUUGGACAUGGUAGCUGAGUUGAGGUGUCAUCCACACCCAAGCUCUGUCAGUACCCAUGGCAUCUCCAGACUUUGUUAUGAUUUCCCACAACCUCCAGAAAACUUCCAAAGGUGGUGCUAGCUGGGCCAGGGAGGUGGAUUUUGUUAUAGGCAAAGAAGAGAUACCAAGUGGAAAUGUGAUAAGAUGAAGACAUUUGAAAUAGUUUAAGCAGGGGCUGGGGGUUUAGCUCAGUGGCAUGAGCGCAUGCCUUGCAAGUGUGUGGUUGUGAGUUCGAUCCCUGGUACCGAUAAAAAAGAAAAAGAUCAAAAAAAAAAAAAAAAGAAAAAAAGAAAAGAAAAUAGUUUAAGCAGCUGAUUCUACAGACAAAAUAGGUGAGUUAGAGACUCACCCAUGACCCUCACAGAGCCCUGUUCAUGAAUUUCCACCACUACCCAUUCUUUCUGCCACUUAGCCUAUUUUUUUCCCAAAGCAGAAAGGCCAAUUUUGUCUCUAAGUCGCAACAGUUUUGAAAUUACCGCCAUGUAUUUCAGUUUCUUUGCAUUUAAAAAUGGUAGAGUCCUUGUGUUUCAUUUGGAAAAGUUCCACUUCCUUUCCUUUCCCAGCUCUGAGCUGCCAGUUGCAUUUCAUGUGUGGUGGGCUGAUGUGUAAGCUGCUGAUUCAUGAUGACCCAAUCACUUGACCCUCUGUCCCAAGCUCUUCAUCCAGGAAAUUGCCAAUUAAUGUUUAAUAAAAGGUCUCAGAAUGAUCCUGGAAAACAAACCUAUGCUAAGUACUUCUAAAUCUUUUUAAGACUCUCCUCCUUCCUCUCUGACGCCAUCAUCUUUUUUUUCCUUCCCUGACUCCUCCUGUGCCUCCCGAAAUGCAGCCACAUCUGGGGCUGUGUCCCUCUGGGCAUCUCUCUGGUGAUGGGCCCCGUGUGUCCUUCACUGCCCAUGUCCCUGUGUUGAAGUAUGGAAUAUGCCAGGGGGCUUUCAGGAGGCUGUUAGGGCUCAACGAGAUUGUGCAGAUGGAGUCAUUUGAAUAAGAUCAACGCGGUCAGCUCUGCCUCUAAAAUGAUCCUUACUGGAUCAUAAUUCUUUUUUGGCUGUAAGCUUUUGAGGGUAAAGACUGUCUCUUAACCUUUAAUUCCAUCGAUUCUGUGUUUAAAAGUAGCAGACAUCGCUGGCACCUGUUUAUAAUCUCAGUGCUCUGGGAAGCUGAAGCAGGAGGAUUGUAAGUUCAAGAAUAGCCUAGGUAACUUAAUGACUUAGCCAGACUCUGUCAUAAAAUAAUAUAACAAAAUAAAGGCUGGGGAAGUAGUUCAGUGCAAAGGUUGGAACCAAUUCCUGGCACCACCAACUACACAUUUGAAAGAAAAAGAAGAAAGAAAAGCAGGCAUACAAGACAUACUUGAGUUAUCAGUUGAGUUGCAAAAAGUGUGUUCCAUGUCCAAAUACAUUUAUAAAGCCCUGAGUUAAAAUUAAUUGAAAUUUCUUCUUUCUUGUCAGACCACAAGUGGUUGCUAUCAGUUCCUAAGAGGCACAUUGUAGUGUGCAGGUCCUGAUCACUCAAUCUUAGGAUCCUCUUCAUAGCUCCAGCCUGCACUCCCGGAAAAUAACUCCUUAGAACAAAGUUAGAGAAAUGUUGUGUUGGGAGAACUGAUCAUUCAUGUGGACAGAAAUAAAAUCCACAUGGAGCAAAAUGUUACACGUCCAAUUCAUACACAUACAUAUGUACAGACGUGAAGCUGUAAACACGCGGGUGAUUGUUUUUCAGUAUAGCGAGGGAGACUUUGAACCACACCAUGCAGGAACUACAAAAGAUUGACAUUUUUUUACUAAAUGCAAUUAAACAUUUGCAGAUGCUCUGUACACUGUCAAAACAGUAAAACAGAGAGAGAGAGAGAGAGAGAGAGAGAGAGAGAGAGAGAUUUUUCUAAAUCCACUAUCACUAAAACAAAUACUCUUUUUCUUAACUCCAUCCCCCUGGUCUGCCCCUGCCUGAACCUCCUUUUUGAAUGGCAAGUUUUUGGGGCUCCCUUUCUCAAUGUCCAAUGCAUGGAGCAGAGGAACAGCCCCUGUGGGGAUGGGAAGGAAGCCCCAGAGCAGGGCAGACCUGCAUGCUAGCUGGAGAAGGGUGUCCAGGCUCCAGCCUCUGGGAGAUGGGUUGCCCUGACCUUGCCUCCCCAGCCUCCCUGGAAGCAUGACCUGUCCCCACUCCCCCAAGGCUCUGCCCUGUGGAUAUCCUUUUAGCCAAGAAGUAAUUGUUCCUCUGAAGUUAGGUUUAUAGGCAUGGAAGAUGUGCUUGAUCAGGGUCUGGUUUUCUCUUUCCCUCUCUGAUGUCUCCUUAGACCCUUGUCACUCUUCCUGUGGCUUUUCACACCUGGGCCCAGAAUCCCACCCGCUCCCACACCUUCAGUGUCAGCUUGGUGGGUGUCCAGUUUCUACAGCUUCUCUGAUUCGAAUCCCACAGGUUCACCCACUGCUAAAAGUCACUUCAGACCUUCCCAGGGCUUCAGACUCACGAGCUCUGCCUCAAACCAACUGACCAUGUCUUCCUCAGAACUCUUGACCUUCCUGUUUCUGCAGCAAAAUUGCCCUCUUCCUCUCAGCAGAGCCUAAGCCUCAGUCAAUACUUUCUCUUCCCUUCCUCCCUGCUUCCCAAACCUAGGCUGGCUGAACAUUUUUUCAAACCCUUUCUUCCAUCCCCCCGUCCUUCCCCGGGGCUGCCAGCUACAAGCUCAGCCCCAUUGCUCAGGCGAGAAGAGUACGGUGGUCUCUAGACUCCUGACUUAGCUGCUUUCUCAUCACUGAGACCCAAUGCCUAACACUCACAAUUUAAAGGAGGAAAGGUUCAUUUUGACUCAUAGUUUGUAUAAGUUUCAGUUCAGUUCAGUAGGUUCCAAGGCUGGGCAGCACGGCCGAGGGCCUGGCAGAGGAGAAACAAACAGUUCAUGGCAGGGUAGGCUGGAAGCAGAGUUGGAUCAAGGGAGGAGGAGGGAGGUAUAGACUUGCAGGCCACAUGGUGACCACCUCUUCCCACCAGGCUUCACUUCUCAACAUCAUACCCAGCUAUAGACCUAUCAGUGGGCUAAUCCAGUCACCUAUGAGCCCAUGAAGCUUUGGGGGGACAUCUAGACAUAAACACAACAACUCCUCUGUGUUGCUCUGUCUCUAAGGCUCCCCUUACCUCCCACCCAUCUUCUGCUCAAGAGUUGAGAUAGGACCCUUAACUCUGUCUCCCAAGCCUGGCAUCAGCCUACCUUUCCACCCUGGUAUUCUACUUUGCAAUACAAAUUUAGAUUUUAGCACCACUGAUAUUUUGGCUAUUCUACAACAUCACCUUAAACUUCUUCCUCCUGCUUCAGAGAAACUUCUUAUCUCCUAUUUUUCUUCUCUCUGUGAAAGUACAUCUCCUCCUUCGGUUCUCCUGGCCAGGUUCCUAGAAAGGACUUUGUUUCAAAUGGUACUUAGCUCAUACUCUUAUGAAUUACUGUUUGUGUUCAUGUCUAAUCUCUCGACAGGAUAAAAGGAUUUGUCUCAUACAUUUUUAUAUAGCCUAUGUCCCCUAGCAAAUAUUAGUAUUUAAGAUAUAAUUUUUUAAAAUGAUUUUUAAAAUUUAUUUUUAUUUUUAUAUUUUUGUGGUGUUGGAGACUGAGUCCAGGGCCUCAGAAAGGCUAGGCAAACACUUUAUCACUGAGAUAUACCUCCAACCCCAAUAUGCUUGCUUAAUAAAGAAAUGAAUGAAUGCUUUAGACCAAAUAGCCAAUUUAUUAUUCAGCCUUCCUGACUUGGGGCAGGAAUCAUUUACGGGUAGCCAACUGGCUGUACAUCAAAGUAAUCUUAUUUUGGCAAAACAAUGUCUACAUACUGUUAACAUUUUUCAGUGUAACA